GAUGAACGCUGGCGGCGUGCCUAAUACAUGCAAGUCGAGCGAACGGACGAGGAGCUUGCUCCUUUGACGUUAGCGGCGGACGGGUGAGUAACACGUGGGUAACCUACCUAUAAGACUGGGAUAACUUCGGGAAACCGGAGCUAAUACCGGAUAAUAUUUCGAACCGCAUGGUUCGAUAGUAAAAGACGGUUUUGCUGUCACUUAUAGAUGGACCCGCGCUGGAUUAGCUAGUUGGUAAGGUAACGGCUUACCAAGGCAACGAUGCCUAGCCGACCUGAGAGGGGGGUCCGCCAACACGGAAACGGGGACAGGUCCCAGAUCCUUAGGGGAGGCAGAGGUGGGAAACCUCCGGCAAGGGCGGAAAGCUGACCGGACAACCGCGGGGGGGGUAAGAAGGGUCUCCGAUUGGUAAAACUUGGUUUUAGGGAAAAACAAAUGGUGAAGGUACCGUGCAAAGUCUGACGGGAACUAAUCAAGAAGCCCCGGCUAACUAAGGU
rnacentral:rRNA from 1 species